rnacentral:tRNA from 1 species
UCCCAGCUAGUUCACUUGGUAGAGCAUGAGACUCUUAAUCUCAGGGUUGUGGGUUUUUGCCUCAUGUUGGGCA